rnacentral:tRNA from 1 species
GUAAGUAGUAUAUCACAUAUAUAUAUAUAUAUAUAAUAUAAUAUAUAAUAUAUAUCUCUAUCCA